rnacentral:lncRNA from 1 species
GGAUUUCUCAGAAUAUCUUUUCUACUUAACCUAUUUUUCUGAGGGUUCCUUUCAGUUUUCUCAGGGGUGAAUAUCUGUUUCGAACAGUUUGGUUUGUUCCUGUGAGAUAGUUGGAUGAAAAUUUGCAGAAUCUCUCCACUGUUAAUGAAACAAGACUCAAAACACUAGAGAAAUGGACAGAAGAAAUGCUGCUUACAUCCUGGUCUUGCCCUGGUCCAAAUAAUGUCAACAUCAUCACAGAUUAAUCUUAUAGGUAUAGAUCAAUGUGAAAUCAAUUUAUCCCACAGAAAAAAAUAUUAAGAAAAUAUAAACUCUUCAAAAGCAUAUAUGCAGUGAACAUUUCAAACAGGAAAUAGUAUUCCAUUUGUUUGUGUGCUCAGAAGAACUC